rnacentral:rRNA from 1 species
AUGAACGCUAGCGGGAGGCCUAACACAUGCAAGCCGAGCGGUAGAGAUCUUUCGGGAUCUUGAGAGCGGCGUACGGGUGCGGAACACGUGUGCAACCUGCCUUUAUCUGGGAGAUAGCCUUUCGAAAGGAAGAUUAAUACCCCAUAAUAUAUGAUUCGGCAUCGGAUACUAUUGAAAGCUCCGGCGGAUAGAGAUGGGCACGCGCAAGAUUAGAUAGUUGGUGAGGUAACGGCACACCAAGUCAGUGAUCUUUAGGGGGCCUGAGAGAGUGAUCCCCCACACUGGUAAUGAGACACGGACCAGACUCCUACGGGAGGCAGCAGUGAGGAAUAUUGGACAAUGGGUGAAAGCCUGAUCCAGCCAUCCCGCGUGAAGGACGACGGCCCUAUGGGUUGUAAACUUCUUUUGUAUAGGGAUAAACCUACCCUCGUGAGGGUAGCUGAAGGUACUAUACGAAUAAGCACCGGCUAACUCCGUGCCAGCAGCCGCAGUAA